AUUGAACGCUGGCGGCAGGCCUAACACAUGCAAGUCGAGCGAGCGGCGGACGGGUGAGUGAUGUCUGGGAAAAUGCCUGUUGGAGGGGGAUAAAUACUGGAAACGGUAGCUAAUACCGCAUAACAUCAGAUGUGGCUAGAGGGGAUUAGCUAGUAGGUGGGGUAAUGGCUCAACUAGGCGAGGAUCCCUAGCUGGUCUGAGAGGAUGACCAGCGACGCUGGAGUGGAGACACGGUCCAUACUCCUACGGGACGCAGCAGUGGGGAAUAUUGCACAAUGGGCGCAAGCCUGAUGCAGCCAUGCCGCGUGUGUGAAGAAGGCCGUCGGGUUGUAAAGCUCUUUCAGCGGGGAGGCGUUACCCUCAGAAGAAGCACCGGCUAACUCCGUGCCAGCAGCCGCGGUAAUUC
rnacentral:rRNA from 1 species